AUAGUGAUGGCCAACAGUCUGGCCUGACAGUCCAAACACAGGUACAUCUGUCCAGGAACUCAAGGCCAUGAAAUGCCAUACAAGGCUAACUUUUUGUAUUCCCCAUCUCCAAUGAUGGCGUUCCUGGUCAGGUCUAGGGUUCUAUGAAGACAGCAUUUUGGGUCUCCCACAGCACUGUGUCCUUCUGUUGCCUGGUUUCCUGACCUUUCUAGAAGAGAGCUUGAACACCUCACCUUGAAAAUCCAGUCUGACAAACUACAGAUUCUUGGAUACAAAAUUGAAUUGAUUUGAAUCUGAAUUGACGUCUGUCGGUAAGUGUUGUUUUUAGUUUACCUUAAAUCCCCUUGUAUCUGAAGUAAAUCCAUAUGUUCAUCAAAAUUAGCAAUCAGCACACUGGUUUUGACGAGAACCUAAAGCUGAAUCGGCUGUGCCUUUGGUAAACAUAGACCGGAAAGAUUUAAGUGCCCUUGGCAAGACGUAUAGAAUCAGAAACCAAUAUA